rnacentral:rRNA from 1 species
GACGAACGCUGGCGGCGUGCUUAACACAUGCAAGUCGAACGGCAAGGCCCUGCUUUUGUGGGGUGCUCGAGUGGCGAACGGGUGCGUAACACGUGAGUAACCUGCUCUAGAUUUUGGGAUAACUUCAGGAAACUGGGGCUACUACCGUACAGCAGCCCCCGCUGCAUGGUAGGGGUUGGAAAGUUUCGGCGGUUGGGGAUGGAUGCGCGGCUUAUGAGCUUGUUGGUGGGGUAGGGGAUUACCAAGGCAUGGACGGGUAGCCCGCCUGUGAGGGUGACCGGCGACAUUGGGACUGAGAGACGGCCCAGAGUGCUACAGGAGGCAGCAGUGGGGAAUAUUGCACAAUGGGCGGAAGCCUGAUGCAGCAACGCCGCGUGCGGGAUGACGGCCUGCGGGGAGUAAACCGCUGUCGCCUGUGACGAAGCGUGAGUGACGGUAAUGAGUAAAGAAGCACCGGCUAACUACGUG